UGCCUAGCUUAGCAUUUGCAUAAGUAAGGCACAGGACUCUGCAUGAAGGGGUCAUCUUUAGAAUUCUGCGCACCACAGCUACCAACCUGGAAGCACUUUAGUCCCCUCUGGGGGUCCCGGAUGAAUGUGGAGGUCUCCAUGUUCCAGAGAUGGAUGCAGGUUCCCAGGUACUGCUACAAGGCUGAUGGAGAAAGGGAUGGCAACAGGAGCGUCAGACAAAGAAGCUCAUUCUAUAGACCCAGCAGGGCCAGCACUGACCAACAGAUGACCAGGCAAUUUGAAAGGAAGAGAGGAUUUAGGCGCCAUACUCAAGGUUACCUGGGUAAGAAAUGAUGGAGCAAGAAUGUCACCCAUGGGACCACACCCCUGAAUCUAUAAAUUGGAGUGUUUCUGCAAAUUCUAAGAGGUUCUUAACAUUAUCCAGAAUGGUGCCCUGGUGGACGAUCAUGCACCUUG
rnacentral:lncRNA from 1 species